rnacentral:rRNA from 1 species
GACGUAGGGCGCAAGCGUUGUCCGGAUUUAUUGGGCGUAAAGAGCUCGUAGGCGGCCCGUCGCGUCGACCGUGAAAACCCGGGGCUCAACUCCGGGCCUGCAUUCGAUACGGGCGGACUAGAGUUCGGUAGGGGAGACUGGAAUUCCUGGUGUAGCGGUGAAAUGCGCAGAUAUCAGGAGGAACACCGGUGGCGAAGGCGGGUCUCUGGGCCGAUACUGACGCUGAGGAGCGAAAGCGUGGGGAGCGAACAGG